rnacentral:rRNA from 1 species
GACGAACGCUGGCGGCGUGCUUAACACAUGCAAGUCGAGCGGUAAGGCCCUUUCGGGGGUACACGAGCGGCGAACGGGUGAGUAACACGUGGGUGACCUGCCCUCAGCUCUGGGAUAAGCCCGGGAAACUGGGUCUAAUACUGGAUAUGACCUCAUGACGCAUGUUGUGGGGUGGAAAGCCUUGUGCGGCUGAGGAUGGGCCCGCGGCCUAUCAGCUUGUUGGUGGGGUGAUGGCCUACCAAGGCGACGACGGGUAGCCGGCCUGAGAGGGCGACCGGCCACACUGGGACUGAGACACGGCCCAGACUCCUACGGGAGGCAGCAGUGGGGAAUCUUGCGCAAUGGGCGAAAGCCUGACGCAGCGACGCCGCGU